GGGUUGUGAGGUUAAGCGACUAAGCGUACACGGUGGAUGCCCUGGCAGUCAGAGGCGAUGAAGGACGUGCUAAUCUGCGAAAAGCGUCGGUAAGGUGAUAUGAACCGUUAUAACCGGCGAUGUCCGAAUGGGGAAACCCAGUGCAAUUCGUUGCACUAUCGUUAACUGAAUACAUAGGUUAACGAGGCGAACCGGGGGAACUGAAACAUCUAAGUACCCCGAGGAAAAGAAAUCAACCGAGAUUCCCCCAGUAGCGGCGAGCGAACGGGGAGCAGCCCAGAGUCUGAAUCAGCUUGUGUGUUAGUGGAACGGUCUGGAAAGUCCGACGGUACAGGGUGAUAGUCCCGUACACCAAAAUGCACAGGCUGUGAACUCGAAGAGUAGGGCGGGACACGUGGUAUCCUGUCUGAAUAUGGGGGGACCAUCCUCCAAGGCUAAAUACUCCUGACUGACCGAUAGUGAACCAGUACCGUGAGGGAAAGGCGAAAAGAACCCCGGCGAGGGGAGUGAAAAAGAACCUGAAACCGUGUACGUACAAGCAGUGGGAGCACCUUCGGGUGUGACUGCGUACCUUUUGUAUAAUGGGUCAGCGACUUAUAUUCUGUAGCAAGGUUAACCGUAUAGGGGAGCCGCAGGGAAACCGAGUCUUAACUGGGCGUUAAGUUGCAGGGUAUAGACCCGAAACCCGGUGAUCUAGCCAUGGGCAGGUUGAAGGUUGGGUAACACUAACUGGAGGACCGAACCGACUAAUGUUGAAAAAUUAGCGGAUGACUUGUGGCUGGGGGUGAAAGGCCAAUCAAACCGGGAGAUAGCUGGUUCUCCCCGAAAGCUAUUUAGGUAGCGCCUCGUGAACUCAUCUUCGGGGGUAGAGCACUGUUUCGGCUAGGGGGUCAUCCCGACUUACCAACCCGAUGCAAACUACGAAUACCGAAGAAUGUUAUCACGGGAGACACACGGCGGGUGCUAACGUCCGUCGUGAAGAGGGAAACAACCCAGACCGCCAGCUAAGGUCCCAAAGUCAUGGUUAAGUGGGAAACGAUGUGGGAAGGCACAGACAGCCAGGAUGUUGGCUUAGAAGCAGCCAUCAUUUAAAGAAAGCGUAAUAGCUCACUGGUCGAGUCGGCCUGCGCGGAAGAUGUAACGGGGCUAAACCAUGCACCGAAGCUGCGGCAGCGACACUAUGUGUUGUUGGGUAGGGGAGCGUUCUGUAAGCCUGCGAAGGUGACCUGUGAGGGUUGCUGGAGGUAUCAGAAGUGCGAAUGCUGACAUAAGUAACGAUAAAGCGGGUGAAAAGCCCGCUCGCCGGAAGACCAAGGGUUCCUGUCCAACGUUAAUCGGGGCAGGGUGAGUCGACCCCUAAGGCGAGGCCGAAAGGCGUAGUCGAUGGGAAACAGGUUAAUAUUCCUGUACUUGGUGUUACUGCGAAGGGGGGACGGAGAAGGCUAUGUUAGCCGGGCGACGGUUGUCCCGGUUUAAGCAUGUAGGCUGGUUAUCCAGGCAAAUCCGGAUAAUCAAGGCUGAGGUGUGAUGACGAGGCACUACGGUGCUGAAGUAACAAAUGCCCUGCUUCCAGGAAAAGCCUCUAAGCAUCAGGUAACACGAAAUCGUACCCCAAACCGACACAGGUGGUCAGGUAGAGAAUACCAAGGCGCUUGAGAGAACUCGGGUGAAGGAACUAGGCAAAAUGGUGCCGUAACUUCGGGAGAAGGCACGCUGGUGUGUAGGUGAAGUCCCUGCGGAUGGAGCUGAGACCAGUCGAAGAUACCAGCUGGCUGCAACUGUUUAUUAAAAACACAGCACUGUGCAAACACGAAAGUGGACGUAUACGGUGUGACGCCUGCCCGGUGCCGGAAGGUUAAUUGAUGGGGUUAUCCGUAAGGAGAAGCUCUUGAUCGAAGCCCCGGUAAACGGCGGCCGUAACUAUAACGGUCCUAAGGUAGCGAAAUUCCUUGUCGGGUAAGUUCCGACCUGCACGAAUGGCGUAAUGAUGGCCAGGCUGUCUCCACCCGAGACUCAGUGAAAUUGAACUCGCUGUGAAGAUGCAGUGUACCCGCGGCAAGACGGAAAGACCCCGUGAACCUUUACUAUAGCUUGACACUGAACAUUGAGCCUUGAUGUGUAGGAUAGGUGGGAGGCUUUGAAGCGUGGACGCCAGUCUGCGUGGAGCCAACCUUGAAAUACCACCCUUUAAUGUUUGAUGUUCUAACGUUGGCCCCUUAUCGGGGUUGCGGACAGUGUCUGGUGGGUAGUUUGACUGGGGCGGUCUCCUCCCAAAGCGUAACGGAGGAGCACGAAGGUUAGCUAAUCCUGGUCGGACAUCAGGAGGUUAGUGCAAUGGCAUAAGCUAGCUUGACUGCGAGCGUGACGGCGCGAGCAGGUGCGAAAGCAGGUCAUAGUGAUCCGGUGGUUCUGAAUGGAAGGGCCAUCGCUCAACGGAUAAAAGGUACUCCGGGGAUAACAGGCUGAUACCGCCCAAGAGUUCAUAUCGACGGCGGUGUUUGGCACCUCGAUGUCGGCUCAUCACAUCCUGGGGCUGAAGUAGGUCCCAAGGGUAUGGCUGUUCGCCAUUUAAAGUGGUACGCGAGCUGGGUUUAGAACGUCGUGAGACAGUUCGGUCCCUAUCUGCCGUGGGCGCUGGAGAAUUGAGGGGGGCUGCUCCUAGUACGAGAGGACCGGAGUGGACGCAUCACUGGUGUUCGGGUUGUCAUGCCAAUGGCACUGCCCGGUAGCUAAAUGCGGAAGAGAUAAGUGCUGAAAGCAUCUAAGCACGAAACUUGCCCCGAGAUGAGUUCUCCCUGAGACUAUAAGUCUCCUGAAGGAACGUUGAAGACGACGACGUUGAUAGGCCGGGUGUGUAAGCGCAGCGAUGCGUUGAGCUAACCGGUACUAAUGAACCGUGAGGCUUAACCUUACAACGCCGAAG
rnacentral:rRNA from 1 species